rnacentral:rRNA from 1 species
UAGGGAAUCUUCGGCAAUGGACGAAAGUCUGACCGAGCAACGCCGCGUGAGUGAAGAAGGUUUUCGGAUCGUAAAACUCUGUUGUUAGAGAAGAACAAGGACGUUAGUAACUGAACGUCCCCUGACGGUAUCUAACCAGAAAGCCACGGCUAACUACGUGCCAGCAGCCGCGGUAAUACGUAGGUGGCAAGCGUUGUCCGGAUUUAUUGGGCGUAAAGCGAGCGCAGGCGGUUUCUUAAGUCUGAUGUGAAAGCCCCCGGCUCAACCGGGGAGGGUCAUUGGAAACUGGGAGACUUGAGUGCAGAAGAGGAGAGUGGAAUUCCAUGUGUAGCGGUGAAAUGCGUAGAUAUAUUGAGGAACACCAGUGGCGAAGGCGGCUCUCUGGACUGUAUCUGACGCUGAGGCUCGAAAGCGUGGGGAGCAAACAGG